GGCGUAGGCGGUAAAAGAAGUCAUCUGUGAAAACCUAUUGCUCAACGAUAGGCUAGCGGAUGAAACUGAAUUACUUGAGGGCACCAGAGGUAGAUGGAAUUACCUGAGUAGGGGUGAAAUCCGCAGAUACGGGUAGGAACGCCGGUGGAGAAGUCGGUCUACUGGGGUGCACCAGACGCUGAGGCCCGAAAGCUAGGGGAGCAAACC
rnacentral:rRNA from 1 species